rnacentral:rRNA from 1 species
GUGCACCAGGCGCGAAACCUCCGCAAUGCGGGAAACCGCGACGGGGACCCCGAGUGCCGUGGCAACGCCACGGCUUUUCCGGAGUGUAAAAGCUCCGGGAAUAAGGGCUGGGCAAGGCCGGUGGCAGCCGCCGCGGUAAUACCGGCGGCCCGAGUGGUGGCCGCUAUUAUUGGGCCUAAAGCGUCCGUAGCCGGGCCCGUAAGUCCCUGGCGAAAUCCCACGGCUCAACCGUGGGGCUUGCUGGGGAUACUGCGGGUCUUGGGACCGGGAGAGGCGGGGGUACCCCUGGGGUAGGGGUGAAAUCCUAUAAUCCCAGGGGGACCGCCAGUGGCGAAGGCGCCCCGCUGGAACGGGUCCGACGGUGAGGGACGAAGGCCAGGGGAGC